rnacentral:tRNA from 1 species
GCGACACUAGCUCAGUUGGUAGAGCGCAACCUUGCAAAGGUUGAGGUCACGAGUUCGAACCUCGUGUGUCGCUCCA